rnacentral:tRNA from 1 species
GGGGAAGUAGCUUAGUUGGAAAAGCAUUAGUCUGUCACGCUAGAGAUCGCGGGUUCAAGCCCCGUCUUUCCCG